rnacentral:rRNA from 1 species
UCUCUUCGGAGAUACUCGAGUGGCGAACGGGUGAGUAACACGUGGGUAAUCUGCCCUGCACUUCGGGAUAAGCCUGGGAAACUGGGUCUAAUACCGAAUAGGACCACUUGGCGCAUGCCUUGUGGUGGAAAGCUUUUGCGGUGUGGGAUGGGCCCGCGGCCUAUCAGCUUGUUGGUGGGGUGAUGGCCUACCAAGGCGACGACGGGUAGCCGGCCUGAGAGGGUGUCCGGCCACACUGGGACUGAGAUACGGCCCAGACUCCUACGGGAGGCAGCAGUGGGGAAUAUUGCACAAUGGGCGCAAGCCUGAUGCAGCGACGCCGCGUGGGGGAUGACGGCCUUCGGGUUGUAAACCUCUUUCACCAUCGACGAAGGUCCGGGUUUUCUCGGAUUGACGGUAGGUGGAGAAGAAGCACCGGCCAACUACGUGCCAGCAGCCGCGGUAAUACGUAGGGUGCGAGCGUUGUCCGGAAUUACUGGGCGUAAAGAGCUCGUAGGUGGUUUGUCGCGUUGUUCGUGAAAUCUC